AUUGAACGCUGGCGGCAGGCCUAACACAUGCAAGUCGAACGGUAACAGGAAGCAGCUUGCUGCUUUGCUGACGAGUGGCGAACGGGUGAGUAAUGUCUGGGAAACUGCCUGAUGGAGGGGGAUAACUACUGGAAACGGUAUCUAAUACCGCAUAACGUCGCAAGACCAAAGAGGGGGACCUUCGGGCCUCUUGCCAUCGGAUGUGCCCAGAUGGGAUUAGCUAGUAGGUGGGGUAACGGCUCACCUAGGCGACGAUCCCUAGCUGGUCUGAGAGGAUGACCAGCCACACUGGAACUGAGACACGGUCCAGACUCCUACGGGAGGCAGCAGUGGGGAAUAUUGCACAAUGGGCGCAAGCCUGAUGCAGCCAUGCCGCGUGUAUGAAGAAGGCCUUCGGGUUGUAAAGUACUUUCAGCGGGGAGGAAGGGAGUAAAGUUAAUACCUUUGCUCAUUGACGUUACCCGCAGAAGAAGCACCGGCUAACUCCGUG
rnacentral:rRNA from 1 species